UGAGGGUGAACAGGUAGAGAGGGAUGGUGAUGAGAGGAGGAAAUGGGAUGGUGGUGAGAGGGAUGGUGGUUCGGCUCCUGAUCCCCAUCAAAGGACAUCUGAUGCAAGAAGGAUUUGCGGAGGGUUGAAGCUGCGUCAGCGCUCUCAUGGUGGAGGAGACCGAGGAGACGGGCGGCCGGCGCGUGGAACGCCUUCCUUACUGGACGAGAUUUGCUGUGGGCAGGGAGAGAGUUGGGAAGGGUAUGGAGGAGGAGGGAGGCCAUGAAAGAGAUCAGAACAGAGGAGGCAUGUUUUCUGAACAAGAUCAGAUACCGGCCACUGAUCGCCACCCGUUCGAAGAUUUGCUCUCGCAGGCUACUCUAGUCAUUUACACAAACAACCCAUAGUCAACCUCACAACUCGUCCUCCGCCGGCGACGGCGCAGGUACACCUGACCACCCUUCAAUGCCGACGAUAGCGGCAAGUCAAUCUCAAUUCGUAUCAUCAUUUCCCAUACAAAUGCAUAUACUAACACGUGAAAUCCUUCAUUCUGACUUCAUUACAUUUUUACCAUAAGGUCCCAUUAUUUUUAUGGUAUGAUGGGUUCCAGUGACAUCGUCGGAGGAGUGGGGGACGAAGUCAACUGAUGAG
rnacentral:lncRNA from 1 species